GCGGUCGUAGCUCAGGGGUAGAGCACUUGAUUGUGGUUCAAGACGUCGCGGGUUCAAAUCCCGUCGAUCGCC
rnacentral:tRNA from 1 species